UACGUAGGGUGCAAGCGUUGUCCGGAAUUAUUGGGCGUAAAGAGCGUGUAGGCGGCCCGAUUAGUCCGCUGUGAAAGUCCAGGGCUCAACCCUGGAAUGCCGGUGGAUACUGUCGGGCUAGAGUCCGGAAGGGGCGAGUGGAAUUCCUGGUGUAGCGGUGAAAUGCGCAGAUAUCAGGAGGAACACCAAUGGCGAAGGCAGCUCGCUGGGACGGUACUGACGCUGAGACGCGAAAGCGUGGGGAGCGAACAGG
rnacentral:rRNA from 1 species